rnacentral:misc_RNA from 1 species
CUGCCCUCAAGCCCGGCUUGUGUGAUGGGCCGCCGUCCCCCGAUCCCGGGGGACGGGCCCGAAAGGCAGCGGCGGCACCGUCCGGUCCUCGAGCGUAUGGGGCUUUGUCUUCCGCUCUGUAGGCCCGGCCGGCUGCUGGCCGACACCUCAAUCUAAUUUUUCCA